rnacentral:misc_RNA from 1 species
GAUGAAGAACGCAGCGAAAUGCGAUACUUGGUGUGAAUUGCAGAAUCCCGUGAACCAUCGAGCCUUUGAACGCAAGUUGCGCCCGAAGCCAUCAGGUUGAGGGCACGUCUGCCUGGGCGUCACAUAUCGUUGCCCAAUGCCUAUUGCAGUGCAAUAGGAAUUUCUAGGGCGAAUGAUGGCUUCCCGUGAGCGUUGUUGCCUCGCGGUUGGUUGAAAAUCGAGUCCUUGGUAGGGUGUGCCAUGGUAGAUGGUGGUCGAGUUAGAACGAUACCGAUCAUGUGCAUGCUCCCCAAAAUAUGGCCUCUAUGACCCACACGCGUCUUUUGACGCUCAUGACGAGACCUCAGGUCAGGCGGGGCUACCCGCUGAAUUUAAGCAUAUCAAUAAGCGGAGGA